rnacentral:rRNA from 1 species
CGAACCGACUAAUGUUGAAAAAUUAGCGGAUGACUUGUGGCUGGGGGUGAAAGGCCAAUCAAACCGGGAGAUAGCUGGUUCUCCCCGAAAGCUAUUUAGGUAGCGCCUCGUGAAUUCAUCUCCGGGGGUAGAGCACUGUUUCGGCAAGGGGGUCAUCCCGACUUACCAACCCGAUGCAAACUGCGAAUACCGGAGAAUGUUAUCACGGGAGACACACGGCGGGUGCUAACGUCCGUCGUGAAGAGGGAAACAACCCAGACCGCCAGCUAAGGUCCCAAAGUCAUGGUUAAGUGGGAAACGAUGUGGGAAGGCCCAGACAGCCAGGAUGUUGGCUUAGAAGCAGCCAUCAUUUAAAGAAAGCGUAAUAGCUCACUGGUCGAGUCGGCCUGCGCGGAAGAUGUAACGGGG